rnacentral:misc_RNA from 1 species
GUUUAUCUGCCGGAGGAUUGCUUAUGCCUAGAAACUUGAAUUUCCGUACUGGACACAACGGAUAGAAGCUACCUUGCAUCAAAACCCUUGCCAGAACCCUAAACUCAAAUCGACAUAGUCGCAAACAGUCAAAGCAAUGGCUUUGGCGAUCUCAAAUGUCUUUAAUUGCCCUAAACGCCAAUUUGCACAGAGGAAUUGCAAUCUCAAACGCUCGCGUUCAAUAUUAGCUCCUCCAUCCGUCAGAUUUUCUAGAAGAUUUCCGGAGAAUAGAAGGGUGAUUUGUACUGCCGCAUCUGCAGCUGGAAGUUCAAGUCCAGACAGUGAUCUAAAUCCAUAUGAGGUCCUUGGUGUGAGCCCCAUUGAGGGGUUUGACAUGGUGAAGGCAGUGUAUACAAAAAAGCGAAAGGAGGCUGAGAGGAUAGGUGAUGAAGCAACUGCUGCUCGGGUAGGUUACUAAUCUCUAACGCUUUCUUGCUGUAGAAAAUCCUGUCUUUAACAUUCUUUGAUUUCCCACUUCUGCUUGUAUGAAAGUAUUCAAAAUGAGGAAUAUUGCCUUAAUUUAUGGAUCGUGUGGUCUAUCUGUCUGAAUUCCAGCUUGAAAAAGCUUAUGAUAAACUGAUGAUGUCACAAUUAACAAAUCGGAAGAAGGGUAUGGCAUAUGGUUCAUUUAAGGUAUGAUUUUGGAUACUUUCUUUGUAUCAUUUAAGCAUUCUUGAGUUGGCAGGUGAAAAUCAAUUGAUAUAUGUAGUUGUUUAUACCUUGGUGCUUAGGUGUGUUUGUGAACUUAAAACAUUGUAACUACAAUGGCUUUUCUUAAUGUUCUAAUCGAAAUGCUGCUUUGGUUUGUUUAUAGUUUGUCAAAAUUGGUUUGCUUAAUUGGUCUUUGUUUACUUAUUAUGAAAAGGAAAAAUCUGUUUUACUAGACACCAAAUUUAUAUCUUCAUUAAGAAUUUAAUUUUAUCGUUGAUGUAAUCAGAUAAAUAUCAUAAAAGAUGCAGAAAAGGUGAAAUUUUUAUUCAACAAUUGUCUGUAACAUUUGUGAUUUUGUUAAAGAAAUUUUAGAAGCCUUAUUAUUAGAGAUGUUUACAUUGAUAUUCUGAAAAGUUAAUUAGUUUUCUGGAUUUAUUCCUGCCUUGUAGUUAUUAUCCUUAUAUUUACAUGUAAAAUGCAGGUCUCGAAGGACAUAAAAUAUGCUGAUAAGCAGCCAAUUGUACCAUGGGGACCAAGGUUUUGUAAUUUCUAUAAAAAGUUCUUCUGCACAUCUAAAUAUUUCAUUAGUUUAUUAUUUUGGUUAUCAUGUGUAGAUUCUUAUUGUAAAAUUGACAAAAUUGACAAUCAUAGAUUCAUAGCUGCCUAGAGCAACUGACCAUGGGAAAGGUGGUUCUAUGCCUUCUAAAGCAGAAGCAUGAGAAGUGAGGACCACUUCUUUGUAUGGGAAUGUAACAUGCUUAACUUGUCAUUACGCAUGAACUUAUUGGACAUAGUUAUGACUUGUGACAAUUGUUAAAAUGACUUGAAGUUGACAUCUUGAAUACUGUACUCUAAUCAGCUACUAAGAGAACCAAAAAUUUUUCUUCCCCUAUAUAUGAUCUACCGGCAUCUUUGGCUAUAUUCUGUGGUCUCUUUUGUGAUUGUAGAAUGUGCCUUAUCUUUAUUCUCUGAUAUGUUUUCAGGUUUGCAAAGUCCAGUGUCCAAGACAUGCGCAUCAACUUGGCAAUAUCUGCUGCAUUUAUAGCUUGGAUUCUUAUCAAACGGAAUGCUGAUUAUAAACCUUUGCAGUUUUUGGCUUUUGCAUUUGUAUAUCGAAUUUUUGAAAAGUUAAAAGCCUUCGAACCACCUGUAUCACCAACAUAUACAGAAGAUGGUGAAGAUGAUGGGCGGGCACUACGAAUGGGAAAACGACUUCUUCGUUCUCUUGCACUAGUUUUUGGCUGUAUUGCUUUUGCCUCUCUGGCAUACACUGGUAUUUUGAAUUUGAUCGAGUUUCUUGGCAGCUAUAUACCUGUUUUCCUUUACAACAAUCAGGAACUGUUAGUCACCACUUCAUCAGCUGUCAUGCUCUAUAUUUUGGGAUCAUAUUAUCGAUAAUGAAUUGGCGAAGAGGUUGAGAACAGUGUGGCUAGGUUUUCUUGAGCUGGUUUCAUUCUAAGUUCGUUUCGCUGCCAAAUUAUCAAAUGAGGAUUUUGUGUAAAAUAAACAAAAUUAAUAGGAAAGAAAUUUUGGUUAAAUUUUAUUGUUAAUUGUUAUAUAUUUACUGGUUCUGGUGUGGCUUAAGUAAAUUACACUAAUACGGGGGGAGUUAUUCUUGAGAGUCUGGACAGUGAAUUUAUUAACAGACUAUUAGUUCCUUGUGGCUUAAGUCUGGACACUCUGCUACACAGUUGGGAAUUGAAUCAACAAGUUCCUUGUGAAAUUGCCACCGGUGUGAACGUGCCCUUCUAGUCCUUCGGUUUUUGCUAGAAGGAUGCUUAUUAUAAGUUUGACCUCGUAUGAAAA